GAUGAACGCUAGCGGGAGGCUUAACACAUGCAAGUCGUGGGGCAGCACGGGGUAGCAAUACUCUGGUGGCGACCGGCGCACGGGUGAGUAACGCGUAUGCAACCUGCCCUGUACAGGGGGAUAGCCCGGAGAAAUUCGGAUUAAUACCCCAUAAAGAUAUUGAGAGGCAUCUUUUAAUAUUUAAAGUUUCGGCGGUACGGGAUGGGCAUGCGUGACAUUAGCUAGUUGGUAGGGUAACGGCCUACCAAGGCUUCGAUGUCUAGGGGUCCUGAGAGGGUGAUCCCCCACACUGGUACUGAGACACGGACCAGACUCCUACGGGAGGCAGCAGUGAGGAAUAUUGGUCAAUGGGCGCAAGCCUGAACCAGCCAUCCCGCGUGCAGGAAGAAGGCGCUAUGCGUCGUAAACUGCUUUUUCAGGGGAAGAAAAUCUCGUACGUGUACGGGACUGACGGUACCCUGUGAAUAAGCAUCGGCUAACUACGUGCCAGCCGCCGCGGUAACAC
rnacentral:rRNA from 1 species